CAUACUCUGCUCCGUGAGGAAGCAGUCGCUAAAGAGCUCUGGAUAGACCAUGUAAGGUUCUGCAGGUGUCCCACCCUUCUCUCAUCACAUAGAUGCUUUAAAAGUGUAUCGUGAUGGGAGAAAGAAACGAUGGGAGGGAGCAGGGGAUGAAAGAAGACAUUCGACAAAGAUCCCAGGUCGGACUCCAAACAAGGGUGUCGUAGUUAGGCUACAUGUGUUCGUUGGGGUCAAAGGCUGAAAGCUGGUGAGUGGUGACCUGAGUGAGAGGCUUCAGUGACAUCUGACCUCUAACUGGGUGUGCGGCUGACCCUGGAAGGUAACAGCUCAACAAUGGGAGGCACGUGCCUUGGCCUUGUCACCAUGGUAACACAGGACAUUUUGGAACGGUGAGGGGGGUGGGGGGUCAAAGCUGUGUCUUUAUCCUGAUCUGCUGCCAAUUACUUUUAUGUAUGUAAGAACGUACCCACCACAGCACAGCAUGCGUGCGUGUGUGCCUGCACGCGUGUGUGUGAGAGAGAAAGAGAUGGGGCACGAGUGAAGAUAAAUAGGGGCUGACUGAGUAAUCUCUGCAGGCAACUGUGAUGGUGCUUUAAAUUCUCACAAUCACCUGGAGAGAUUCUGCAGUUUGUCUAAUAUUCCUUUAAAAAGUCCAUAAUUCAAACCUUGUUUCCUCUCCAUUCUUUGUAUCACAAACCAAAGAAAUGAUGACAAAUUCUUUGCCAUUGCAUUACAUUACAUUUUUCAUUUUAGUGUGGUCUGCAACAUGCCGGGAGACCAAAUUGUUUUCCAAAGGUUGGCUCAAAAAACUGUAUACUUCUGUGAAAUGGUGAUUCAAGAGGAUUUUAACUCUUUGAGGUAAUGAUCAUUGCACAAUAGAAGAGAUGUUUCUAUUACACUUUUGAUUAAUCUUUUUAUACCUCACUAUUACAGGUCAAAAUGGUUGGUUGUUUAAAAAAAGAAAAAAGGG